AUUGAACGCUGGCGGCAUGCCUUACACAUGCAAGUCGAACGGCAGCACAGGAGAGCUUGCUCUCUGGGUGGCGAGUGGCGGACGGGUGAGGAAUACAUCGGAAUCUACCUUUUCGUGAGGGCUAACGUAGGGAAACUUACGCUAAUACCGCAUACGACCUACGGGUGAAAGUGGGGGACCGCAAGGCCUCAAGCGAUUAAAUGAGCCGAUGUCCGAUUAGCUAGUUGGCGGGGUAAUGGCCCACCAAGGCGACGAUCGGUAGCUGGUCUGAGAGGAUGAUCAGCCACACUGGAACUGAGACACGGUCCAGACUCCUACGGGAGGCAGCAGUGGGGAAUAUUGGACAAUGGGCGCAAGCCUGAUCCAGCCAUACCGCGUGGGUGAAGAAGGCCUUCGGGUUGUAAAGCCCUUUUGUUGGGAAAGAAAUCCUGUCGAUUAAUACUCGGUGGGGAUGACGGUACCCAAAGAAUAAGCACCGGCUAACUUCGUGCCAGCAGCCGCGGUAACAC
rnacentral:rRNA from 1 species